GGAGGAAUAUUGGUCAAUGGGGCGGAAGCCUGAACCAGCCAAGUAGCGUGAGGGAUGACUGCCCUAUGGGUUGUAAACCUCUUUUGAUUGGGAACAAAGAGCACCACGUGUGGUGCGUUGCGUGUACCUUUCGAAUAAGCAUCGGCUAAUUCCGUGCCAGCAGCCGCGGUAAUACGGAAGAUGCGAGCGUUAUCCGGAUUUAUUGGGUUUAAAGGGAGCGUAGGCGGGCUGUUAAGUCAGCGGUCAAAUGUCAGGGCCCAACCUUGGCAUGCCGUUGAUACUGGCGGCCUUGAGUUCACACAAGGAAGGUGGAAUUCGUCGUGUAGCGGUGAAAUGCUUAGAUAUGACGA
rnacentral:rRNA from 1 species